GAUGAACGCUGGCGGCGUGCCUAAUACAUGCAAGUCGUACGGAAAGGCCCUUCGGGGUACUCGAGUGGCGGACGGCUGAGUAACGCGUGGGAACGUGCCCCAAAGUGAGGGAUAACGCACCGAAAGGUGUGCUAAUACCGCAUAUGGUCUUCGGCUUAAAGCUUCGGCGCUUUGGGAGCGGCCCGCGUACGAUUAGGUAGUUGGAGAGGUAAUGGCUCACCAAGUCGACGAUCGUUAGCUGGUCUGAGAGGAUGAUCAGCCAGACUGGGACUGAGACACGGCCCAGACUCCUACGGGAGGCAGCAGUAAGGAAUCUUCCACAAUGGGGGCAACCCUGAUGGAGCAACGCCGCGUGCAGGAUGAAGGUUUUCGGAUCGUAAACUGCUUUUAUAAGUGAAGAAUAUGACGGUAACUUAUGAAUAAGGAUCGGCUAACUACGUGCCAGCCGCCGCAGUAA
rnacentral:rRNA from 1 species